UGCUCCAGUAGCGUAUAUUAAAGUUGUUGCAGUUAAAAAGCUCGUAGUAGAAUUUCUGGCAUUGUGCGACUGGCCCAGGGCUUAGGUCAUUGCGUGCCGGCUCGCACUUGCCAUCCUUCUGGAAAACGACUCUACCCUUGAUUGGGCCGGAGUCGGGCUCCAGAUCGUUUACUUUGAAAAAAUUAGAGUGUUCAAAGCAGGCGUUUACGCUUCUGAAUACAUUAGCAUGGAAUAAUGAGAUAGGACUUCGGUGCUGUUUCGUUGGUUUUCGGCGCAGAAGUAAUGAUGGAUAGGGAUAGUUGGGGGUGCUAGUAUUCAGCGACCAGAGGUGAAAUUCUUGGAUUCGCUGAAGACUAACUUAUGCGAAAGCAUUCACCAAGGAUGUCUUCUUUUAUCAAGA
rnacentral:rRNA from 1 species